GCUAGUAAUUCUUCUUUGCAAAAUCAUUAAUUAUCCUAGCUCUAAUUACUAUAAUUAAUGGCUUUGCAAAGAUAGAUUUACUAGCUAAAUCU
rfam:Populus trichocarpa scaffold_3_contig_264, whole genome shotgun sequence.